GCGCCUGUAGCUCAGGGGAUAGAGCAACGGUUUCCUAAACCGUAGGUCGUUGGUUCGAAUCCAAUCAGGCGUA
rnacentral:tRNA from 1 species